AUGCCUACGGGACGCAGCAGUGAGGAAUAUUGGUCAAUGGUCGGGAGACUGAACCAGCCAAGCCGCGUGAGGGAUGAAGGUACAGAGUAUCGUAAACCUCUUUUGUCAGGGAACAAAGGCGGGGACGUGUCCCCGGAUGAGUGUACCUGAAGAAAAAGCAUCGGCUAACUCCGUGCCAGCAGCCGCGGUAAUACGGAGGAUGCGAGCGUUAUCCGGAUUUAUUGGGUUUAAAGGGUGCGCAGGCGGCCUGUUAAGUCAGCGGUAAAAGCCCGGGGCUCAAACCCGGCGAGCCGUUGAAACUGGCG
rnacentral:rRNA from 1 species